UACGUAGGGUGCGAGCGUUAAUCGGAAUUACUGGGCGUAAAGCGUGCGCAGGCGGAUGUUUAAGUCAGAUGUGAAAUCCCCGGGCUCAACCUGGGAAUGGCAUUUGAAACUGGGCAUCUAGAGUGCGUCAGAGGGGGGUGGAAUUCCACGUGUAGCAGUGAAAUGCGUAGAGAUGUGGAGGAACACCGAUGGCGAAGGCAGCCCCCUGGGAUGACACUGACGCUCAUGCCCGAACGCGUGGGGAGAAAACAGGAUUAGAUCCCCUGGUAGUCCACGCCCAAAACUAUGUCAACAGGUUGUUGGGGACGUAAGUUCUUAGUGACGAAGUUAACGCAUAAAGUUGACCGCCUGGGGAGUACGGCCGCAAGGUUG
rnacentral:rRNA from 1 species